CCUCUGUCGUUACCAUGGUCGUUACUAUGUGUCGUCUUCUCUCUCUUGCUUGUAUUGUUGCUAUGUGUCGUUGCUAUGCGUCGUGUCACUCUGUCGUUGCUUUAUGUUGUUUCACUCUGUCGUUAGCAAGAGCUAACGUUAGCUAGCAAGAGUUCCGGCAGGUGAUGUCACGCAAUCCCAGCAUGCACCAGUCAAUAUCAAAACACUGCCAUCGGAGCUGAGCCAGAGUUAGCUAGCUACGUUACUAGCUAGCUAGUUGCACCUAUUGUAGAUAGCUAGCUAGAUAAAUAGAUCAUUUUUAUUGAUCCCAAGGGGAAAUAAUUUGCUGCCUAUUUAAUAAACGCCUUGAUUCAGCAUGGUGGAUAGCUGCUGUGCGCCGGGAUGCCAGAACCAUCUGAAAAAAAGAUAAUGGAUAGCAUCUUAUGGGAUUCCUAGCUAAAGAUCCCGAGAGAAGAAAUAAAUGGAUUGCUUCCAUAAAACGUGCUAGAAGCAGACGGAACCAAACCGAGCCAUGGGAGCCCACAAACAAUGGAUUUCGGUUAUGCUGUGACCACUUUAUAUCAGGGAAAAAGAGUGACAACCCUCUGUCACCUGACUACGUUCCUUCAAUCUUCAAUCAUGUUCCAUCCCCGGAGAAGAGAAAAAGAAGAAUGAGGUUAGAUGUAGUCAACAGAAGAGCAAACUUCAAAGAAUAGAGAAAGCAGCAAAGCCAUCAGCUGCAGCAGUAAUGGAUCUAACGGAUUGUCCAUCGGCGCAACAGCAAGCAUCCUACUGCAGACCAGGUGAAGGAAUCUAACAUCAACAAAGAACAUGAAAAUGAAAAUAUUCUGCCUUUUCCCCAUGAAAAUGACGAAAUGAAUAUAACUGCACUGAAUGAGAAUGGAAUACAUCCAAAAACUCUGCUGCCUGUCUCCGCAACCACACCCGUUCCCGUGAUCACAUCACUCCCGUCCUUCAGAGCCUCCACUGGCUCCCUGUUUCCCAACGCAUCCAGUUUAAAGUCCUCCUCACCUACAAAGCCCUCCAUAACCAGGCUCCUUCCUCACAGACCUGCUCCACCACCACAAUCCCCCCGUAACCUCCGCUCCUCUGACACUAACCUCCUCUCCCCACCACUCAGGACAAUGCACCGUACCUGGGGUGACAGAGCUUUCACCAUUGCAGCCCCCUCCCUCUGGAACUCCCUACCCACACACAUUCGGGACUGUACUGACCUGGACACAUUGAGAACACUAAUCAAAACACACCUCUUCAGAUUAGCUUUCCACAUACUAUAGUCUUAUAUUUCUCAACUGAUAGUUACUGGUUUUAUUGUUUUUAAUUGCUUUUAAUAUGCUUGUUUUAUAUGUUGGUUUUAUUGCUUAUCUUUUUUUAAUAUGCUAUAUGUGCUGGUUUUACUGGAGUCUACAAAACAAUGAUAAAAGGGUUAAUAUCCUCACUGGUUUACAAAUAUUCAAUACUAAUGACAGUGUUCAUUUUGUAGCUCUCUAUCUCAAAUGUAAGUCCACCCUAACAUUAUUUCAGCAGUACAUGCUGGCUUUAAUUAAGAUGAGAAUUAAUUUGUCUUUUGAUUUUUUUGGGUUAUUAUUUUGGCGUUGAUUUGACCACUGUUUCAAAGCUUUUCCAACACUGUAUUGACGUAACGUAUUGCAGAUUGGUGCCAAUGUGCAACGUGCUGUGUAUGCUUAUAGCGUAAUACUGUGGACUGUUAGUGCAGUGUUGGUGAAUGUAAGAUGCCUAAGCCAAGAAGGAUUCAUUGUUCUAGGGCGAUUAAUGACAAAUAAGUAUUACAGUAGUUAUUAUUUAAUAGCAUUUCUUUUUUUAUCAUUUCACCCCUUGAUUUCUUUUCUUCUGCUGUUACAGUUCCCCAUCAUUUCACCAAAUGUACAACGUUUAUCUAUUUUUACUAAAUAAAGAUUGUGGGCCAACUCCUUUUGUAAUCCUC